UCGACUGCAGUCGAGCGGAACGACAAAAGCUUGCUUUUGGGCGUCGAGCGGCGAACGGGUGAGUAACGCGUAGGAAUCUGCCCGAUAGCGGGGGAUAGCCCGGGGAAACCCGGAUUAAUACCGCAUACACCCCACGGGGGAAAGGCCGGGAUCUUCGGACCGGUCGCUAUCGGAGGAGCCUGCGUUGGAUUACUUGUUGGUAGGGUAACGGCCUACCAAGGCCACGAUCCAUAGCUGGUCUGAGAGGAUGAUCAGCCACACUGGAACUGAGACACGGUCCAGACUUCUACGGGAGGCAGCAGUCGGGAAUAUUGGACAAUGGGGGAAACCCUGAUCCAGCCAUGCCGCGUGUGUGAAGAAGGCCUUCGGGUUGUAAAGCACUUUCAGUAGUGAGGAAGGGACCUGGGUGAAUACCCCGGGUUCUUGACGUUAGCUACAGAAGCAGCACCGGCUAACUCCGUGCCAGCACCGCGGUAAUACGGAGGGUGCGAGCGUUAAUCGGAAUUACUGGGCGUAAAGCGCGCGUAGGCGGUUUGGUAAGUCGGAUGUGAAGCCCAGGGCUUAGCCUUGGAACUGCAUUCGAUACUGCCUGACUAGAGUAUGGUAAGGGGGGUAGAAUUC
rnacentral:rRNA from 1 species